rnacentral:rRNA from 1 species
CCUACGGGGGACAGCAGUGAGGAAUAUUGGUCAAUGGGCGAGAGCCUGAACCAGCCAAGUCGCGUGAAGGAUGACGGCCCUACGGGUUGUAAACUUCUUUUGUCAGGGAGCAAUUGGGUCCACGCGUUUGCUUAGCGCGAGUACCUUAAGUACAAGCAUCGGCUAAAUCCGUGCCAGCAGCCGCGGUAAUACGGAGGAUGGGAGCGGUAUCCGGAUUUAUUGGGUUGAAAGGGUGCGUAGGCGGAAUAUCAAGUCAGCGGUAAAAAUUCGGGGCGAAACCCCGUCGUGACGUUGAAACUGAUGUUCUUGAGUGGGCGAGAAGUAUGCGGAAUGCGUGGUGUAGCGGUGAAAUGCAUAGAUAUCACGCAGAACUCCGAUGGCGAAGGCAGCAUACCGGCGCCCAACUGACGCUGAAGCACGAAAGCGUGGGUAUCGAACAGGAUUAGAUACCAGAGUAGUC